CAAUAGCGUAUAUUAAAGUUGUUGCGGUUAAAAAGCUCGUAGUUGGAUUUCUGCUGAGAACGACCGGUCCGCCCUUUGGGUGUGUAUCUGGCUCUUUCUUGGCAUCUUCUUGGUGAACGUUGCUGCACUUGACUGUGUGGAGCGCUACCCAGGACUUUUACUUUGAGGAAAUUAGAGUGUUUCAAGCAGGCAUACGCCUUGAAUACAUUAGCAUGGAAUAAUAACAUAGGAUCUUCGUCCUAUUUUGUUGGUUUCUAGGGCUAAGAUAAUGAUUAAUAGGGAUAAUUGGGGGCAUCUGUAUCAACGCGUCAGAGGUGGAAUUCUUGGAUUGCGUUGCGACAAACUACUGCGAAAGCAUUUGCCAAGGAUGUUUUCAUUGA
rnacentral:rRNA from 1 species